GGAUGGCUUGGUCAAUAGAGCAUGAGACUCUUCAUCUCAUGGUCAUGGGUUCGAGCCCCAUGUUGGGCA